rnacentral:lncRNA from 1 species
UUAAAACUACCUUUGAAUAAUUGGUUCAAUUUUCUAAUCAUAUAGGGGAUAUGCUCUCAUCCACCUAGACAGAUUUAUAAAACAAAACCGUUUUACAAGCCUCGAUACCCUUUGGUUUUUAUUUAUAAGUUUAUCACGACUCCGAAUGGAUGAAUAUGGAAAUCUCCAUAUGUGCUUGAUCUCAGUUACCUCCCCGUGCAACUAAUACGAUGGGUAUCCCGUUUAGUUUUAAGGUGUUUUUUUUGGAUUCACAACUAUAAGUCGAAGGUUCAGAUUAGAUUCAUUAAAUUUGGCCCAAUUAAGACACAGAGUAAAAUAUAAUUAGAUUUAGCCGCGAGGUAAAAGGUGAACUAAUUAUAUGGAGGUGGUAAAAUGGAUGGAGCAUCUGGGCAUCUACGAGGCUGCUAAACCAGGAUAAUUUAAUUAUUCAGCUCUACAAAUUCUCUGGCAGUUCUGUUGCUUAAUUAGUCUACUUUUUUUGUCUGAUUCAUUUAGCUCAAGCAUGUACCAUAUUGUAAAUGCAGAUUUCUUUUCCAAAUUUAGCUGUAUCUUGUUAUGUAGUCUAUAUAUUCAAUAAGUCAAGAUUUGAUUCAUUUGAACGUUGAACGCAGUAUCUUACCUAACGCAGAAUUAAAUCCC